rnacentral:rRNA from 1 species
CAGUGAAAUGCGUAGAGAUGUGGAGGAACACCGAUGGCGAAGGCAGCCCCCUGGGCCAAUACUGACGCUCAUGCACGAAAGCGUGGGGAGCAAACAGGAUUAGAUACCCUGGUAGUCCACGCCCUAAACGAUGUCAAUUAGGUGUUGGUGGGGUUAAACCCAUUAGUGCCGUAGCUAACGCGUGAAGUUGACCGCCUGGGGAGUACGGCCGCAAGGUUAAAACUCAAAGGAAUUGACGGGGACCCGCACAAGCGGUGGAUGAUGUGGAUUAAUUCGAUGCAACGCGAAAAACCUUACCUACCCUUGACAUGUCAGGAAUCCUG